GUGCCUACUCACUUCGGCAGCACAUAUACUAAAAUUGGAAUGAUACAGAGAGGAUUAGCAUGGCCCCUGCGCAAGGAUGACACGCAAAUUCGUGAAGUGUUCCAUACUUAA
ensembl:snRNA U6 U6 spliceosomal RNA